rnacentral:sRNA from 1 species
AAUGAAAUCAGAUAGGACGUUAAUCGU